UUCAGGAGCCCGUCUUAUCAACGAUCGUACGCCAAAGAUAAUCGUAAGAAACGGCUAAGAUCGUCGUACGAUUUUCUUAAGAUUUUACAGUGUCUUAUGAAAAUUCCCAUCUUACCUAAAUCUUACGAUUUUGCCUAAAAAGUUACGACUACCUCUUGGCACUCGCAAAUAUUGCGAUAUUCGUAAAUAUGGCGGAAUUUGUUGCGUUGUUUGAUGUAAACGAGCAAAACAGACGCAGACAAAGGGUUUUCCGUGAACGUGUGAAUAUUUUGGAUGAAUUAAGAGACGAAGAAAUCAUCGCACGAUACAGACUGAGCAGAGAAGCGAUUACGUACCUGAAUGAAACAUUGAGGGUAGAUUUAGAACCGAAGACAAAAAGAUCAAACUCACUCUCAUCUCUUACUCAGGUUCUAAUCGGGCUUCGGUUCUUGAGCAAGGGUGAUUUUUUUUUCUGAGGUUGCCGAUAUUCAUGGUGUCAGUAAGCCUACAGCAGCUCGAUGCUUCCAUGUUUUCAUUGAUAGCCUGAAUCGUCGUCUACAUAAUAUCAGAUUCCCGACUGAAAAUGGCGCUAUGGCACUCUCAAAACAAGACUUCUACAGGCGGUGUAGGAUUCCAAACGUUCUCGGUGCUGUUGAUGGGACUUUGGUUCCAAUUCUAGGCCCUUCCGAAAAUGAAGAGGCAUAUAUUUGUAGAAAGGGGUUUCACGCCAUCAAUGUGCAAGCUGUUUGUGAUUCUCGAAUGAAUUUCAUAGAUGUAGUUGCAAAGUGGCCAGGUUCGCAGCAUGAUGCUUCCAUUUUCAACACCUGUGGUCUAAAGGAACACCUGGAAAGAACACAUGCAGGAAUUUUGCUUGGGGAUAGCGGAUAUGGCCUGAGAAGAUAUCUUCUAACACCUAAACAAAAUCCCAUGACAGAGUCUGAAAGGCGUUACAAUAAUUACCAUGCCAGGGGAAGAGUGGUUAUUGAAAGAGCGUUUGGUGUGCUGAAAUCUAGAUUUCGGUAGG